AACGGCCGUACCAUGCUGAAUAUACCGGUUCUCGUUAGAUAACCGAAGUUAAGCAUCAUUGGGCGCGGUCAGUACUUGGUGGGUGACCACCUGGGAACACUGCGUGCAGU
rnacentral:rRNA from 1 species